AGAAUACACGGCAGGCGAUGCUAUUAUUACAUUUCUAAGGAACUGAAAGAGAUAAACAAAACAUCAGGCAGCUCUUCAUAUACCUGACAGCUCAAUAGAAGGAAAAGACAGUAGGAAAAACUCAGGAUGGAGGAAAAUGAACUGUCCCUGUCCGUGAAGGAACAUACAAUCUAUUGGAAGAUAUAGACCCUGGGAACUCCUGACACCCACUUCAAAAACUGUAUGUAACAAGAACCGAGGGAACAGGAACUCCACACAAGAAAGGGGUCUUUGAGUAAUGCAUCUUAUAAAAUGGCUCUCGAGGGGAUCCCACACUGAUUCCUAUCAUGAGCUCAGCAUGACUUAGAAAGCCAGU
rnacentral:lncRNA from 1 species